rnacentral:rRNA from 1 species
AUUGAACGCUGGCGGAAUGCUUUACACAUGCAAGUCGAACGGCAGCACGGACUUCGGUCUGGUGGCGAGUGGCGAACGGGUGAGUAAUGUAUCGGAACGUGCCCAGUCGUGGGGGAUAACGUAGUGAAAAUUACGCUAAUACCGCAUACGAUCUAUGGAUGAAAGCGGGGGAUCGCAAGACCUCGCGCGAUUGGGGCGGCCGAUAUCAGAUUAGGUAGUUGGUGGGGUAAAGGCCCACCAAGCCAACGAGCGGUAGCUGGUCUGAGAGGACGACCAGCCACACUGGAACUGAGACACGGUCCAGACUCCUACGGGAGGCAGCAGUGGGGAAUUUUGGACAAUGGGCGAAAGCCUGAUCCAGCCAUUCCGCGUGCAGGAUGAAGGCCCUCGGGUUGUAAACUGCUUUUGUACAGAACGAAAAGGUUUCUACUAAUACUAGGAGCUCAUGACGGUACUGUAAGAAUAAGCACCGGCUAACUACGUGCCAGCCGCCGCAGUAA